CACGCCGUAAACGUUGAGAACUAAGUGUUGGGGAGACCCAGUGCUGAAGCUAACGCAUUAAGUUCUCCGCCUGAGGAGUACGCACGCAAGUGUGAAACUUAAAGGAAUUGACGGGGGCCCGCACAAGCAGUGGAGCAUGUGGUUUAAUUCGAGGCUACGCGAAGAACCUUACCAGGGCUUGACAGGAAACUUAAGACCCUAGAGAUAGGGGGAUAAUAAGUGAAACAGGUGG
rnacentral:rRNA from 1 species